UACAGAGGGUGCGAGCGUUGUCCGGAAUCACUGGGCGUAAAGGGCGCGUAGGCGGCUUGAUAAGGUUGCGGUGAAAGCCCGGGGCUCAACCCCGGGUCGGCCGUGGCAACUGUCGAGCUGGAGCACUGUAGAGGCAGGUGGAAUUCCGGGUGUAGCGGUGGAAUGCGUAGAGAUCCGGAAGAACACCGGUGGCGAAGGCGGCCUGCUGGGCAGUAGCUGACACUGAGGCGCGACAGCGUGGGGAGCAAACAGG
rnacentral:rRNA from 1 species